CGCACCUUGCGCUCCUUGGUAUUCCGAGGAGCAUGCCUGUUUGAGUGUCGUGAAAUCAUCAACUCUUUUGCUUUAUUGUAAAAUGAGCUUGGACUUGGGGAUGCUGGUGCAAAUCAGCUUCCCUUGAAUGCAUUAGCUGGAAUUUGGUUCGCAGCAUAUAUGCGGUGUGAUAAUGUCGUCACUGUGUAGCUCGUACUGUCUGGCUUCUAAUCGUCCUUCACGGGACAAUUUGAUCAUUUUGACCUCAAAUCAGGUAGGACUACCCGCUGAACUUAA
rnacentral:misc_RNA from 1 species